GUAGCGACCCGCUAUGAUAGACGAGGGAGACAUGAUCUCGUUUUCUGAACGUUUAUUAAACGUUAACACAGGCUACUGUGGGCCGUAGCCAACGCCAAAAUAACACUGGAAAACCCUGGUUUUAACUCCAGAACUAGCUGCCGUUCUCAGCUGUCUCUCGGUCGGAGCCGACACCCAGCUACGCACACCACGCACUGAUGACUACCCCCAUCAGAACUGCCAACCAAACAUGACACUGACACUACGUAAAUACUGAAUUGAACAACACUGAAACGUCAACAUCACAACAUGUCAGUCCAUUACAAUAUGAAUCAGUAGGUAGGACACGUCCAUAGAUAUGAAUCAGUAGGUAGGACACGCCCAUAGAUAUGAAUGAGUAGAUAGGACACGCCCAUAGAUAUGAAUGAGUAGAUAGGACACGCCCCUUUGAGCUGCGUGCUACAGCGAGGCUAAGCUAGUGGGGGCAAAGUUUCAGUGCAUUCCGUUGAUGUAGACAGCGUGAAAACGGAAACAAGUAUGCCGGCUCACUGUGCUGCAUACAGUUACACACUACGUCGUACGAUUGAGACAAGGAAACUUGGAAUGACUUUUCAUAGAGUGAAAGUAGCAGUUCCUCCUUAAGGUCAGAGGUUGCAGCAUCUGAGGGCCUCUUCAAAAGAAGACGUAGUUGAUGAAGGCGUUCUGGAGCAGGACCAGAAAGACCACGACCAAGCAGCCUUGAGAUCUUAGGCAGCGUCUUCUUCAGGUCCCUCUCUAUCUCCCCACACAUCCACCAACCACUGGAACACAUCUCCAAAGUUCUGCUGGACCAGCUCAGCUUCCCCUCAGAAGAAGUGCUGCCACCUGCCAGAUGAAGGAGCCUUUUGAGAGGCAGCUGGCAUCGUGAUUGGACUGUACUUUGGUCUGUUCCAAUCCAGCUUCAGCUCCAGAGACGGCAGGCGGGACGAGUCAACGGAGGCCGGAUGGACGAAGACAUGCAGCUGAGUACAAUCCAGAAAACAACAGAGGAGGAGUGCAGCGGUUUUCUGUUAGUGUUCUUCUAAGUUUAACUCCAAGAUUUUAAAUACUUUCAUUUACUGCAAAUCAAUAUCUACUCCAAAUGUCUCACUAAUAAUCAUUAUCAGCCUUAAAAACCCACAAAACACCCCUCUAUACUGGACCACACUUAGUACAGUCCGGUUCCCCCUUCUAUAAAUCUGCUUGGAAUCUUCCACUUCCUGUUUGUCAAAGUGGCCUUCUACCUGGACAGGUUUUGUUGGAGCUCAUGCAACAAACAUUUUGGGUAACUGCACUUUAAUAUGGAUGGAUGACACUGAAUUAGAGUCUGUUUUAAUGAGACUGAGUUAAGAUGUGUAGCUCUGUCAUUAAAUAGGAAAUUAUUUCUCAGAAUUCACAGAGAAAAGUCUGAAAUGUUUGCUAGGUUAGCAUCCCACAUGUUCUUUCGCUCAGCUAAAGCUAACUCUCUCCAACUUCUGGAUCUCUUGAGUUGCUUGUUGUUAAAAUAUCUUGCUAAAGGUGCUGAAGCUCAGAAAGUCUGAGAUGUUUGUUCAAAAUAAGCUCAUUCUCAAGUCUGAUCUGAACUGUCCUCUUUUGUUUGAACUUUCCCUAAACUUAGGAGUUAAUGACAGAGCAGCACAUCCAGACUCAGUCUCAUUUAUGUAGAGAUUAAACUUCAGUGUCAUUCAUUGAUGGUAAAGUGCAGUUUUUCAAAUGUUUGUUGCACAUACUCCCGACCAAACCAGUCCAGGUGGAAGACGAUGUGAAGAGAAAGCUCCAUAGGAUGAAUAUCACACAUUUACGUUGGAAAUAAAUGUCCUUUAAUUAGACAUUGUCAUGCAAAAGUUGGAUUUCCAUUUAAUGAUGUUCAAAUCUUUGUUGAGUGUUUUGUUGAUGUUGGUUUCUAAAUGUUUUUUGACACUCGGCCCCAAAGAUUAAAACCUUCUACGGCUCACAAGCUGCAACAAUUCACACAUUAUCAACUAUCUUUCUGACUAAACUAAGAUAAAAAGUGAGAAACUGCCUGA